UGUUUAUACUGCUAUGUAGUUUUGAAUCAAGGAGUUUUGUUUGUGUUUGAAUGAGUAGAAUAUAUAGAACUCCAAAGCUGCCCAUGUUUAUCUUUGAAGGACCAACCGGCGAAACAUACAUAAAUUUUAUUUGCUGUAGUUUUACACAAAAUUAUUUAUAGUGUUGUUGAUGCAUUAUAUUAAGAAUAGUCAUUGUAAUUUGUUACAACGUCUUUGUAGUGAACCCAUAUUACUAAUGUGUCCAGUCUCUUUUCGAAAUUUUCGUCAGAGUACUUAGGCCGUCUCAAUUAAAUGAUUUUUUUAUUAUUGCGUGAUGAAGGUAAAGACUUGAUGAGACCAUUUUCUUUCAGGAACGAAGUGUUGGUUGUUUCAUCUUGUAUAGUAAUGUGUAUUUGAAUUUGCUUACACUUGUGUGACAUCUGAAUAAAGCGAUGGACAAGAGUGAGUCUUUUAGUGUCAUAGUGAGUAGCCGAUAAAUAAAAUGAAAACUCUUUUUUCUAAGUUUUGAUGCACCAUUCGAUAUCCAUUGUCUACAAUCUGACAUGUACUGUGAGAACCUAACAUAACAUGAUACCAUACAUCAUUUGGAACAACUACCAUUCCGUUCUACAGAAUUAAACAUUUUGAAGCCUCGUCAAGAUUUUCUCCAUUUCCAGUGUUGUCAGUGUGGAAAUUGGUAUCAGCAUAAAGGUUCUCUCAGUCGACAUCUUAGAUUAGAAUGUGGAAAAGAACCACUAUUCAGUUGUUCGUUAUGUUCGUACAAAUCAAAACAGAAACAUGAUGUAAAGAGACAUUUUCUUAAAAAACAUAUGAAACAUUAAAAUUGUGCUAUCCUCUGCCAUUUCUUGUAUUGCUGCAAUAUUUUGAUACAGGUGUUCUGGAAAAGUGAUUGUAAUUGGAAAGAAUAUGUAAGAUCUUUUUGCUUAUGCAGUUGUAUCUUAAAAAACGACGACUUCUUAAGAAAUUAUGGUUAUGAUGUGCACUUUCAUAACUUGUAACAUAAUCAUUAAAUGAAGUCGGCAUAAUUUUUUCACAUACACAGUUGAACAAUUUGGUGGCAGAGGGGAUUCAUAAUGGAGGAUGAACUACCAGAUGUCAGAUAAAUUUUGUGUCCUCCUUUCACUCUUGUGCUUUUCAGAAUCUGAUUUUUUGUUAUUUUUUGCUUCACCAAAUAAAAAUAGAGUUACUGUACAUUAACUGUAUACCCUUGCAUACAGGACCUCUUUGAAAAUGUUUUUCCACACAAGAAACUUAUCAUUUGCCCCCCCCCCCCCCCUACUUGUUUCUGCCUCAUACACUUUCAGCUAAGCCAGUUUUCACUACUAAUUGUGAUUCAAGCUGUACACAAAUCUUGCUCUUGGUCGAUGCCCCAAACGGCCACUAAUAAUUGUAAUACAAACUGUAUAGAAAUCUUUCAGUUGCAAUUCCUCUAGCACCCAUCUCCGCUUGGCGCCCCCAAGCAUCCCAAACAACGGUUGGUGUCAAUUGGGUCUUAAACCGGCUGUGCCUCCAUAGAUUGAUUAUUUUAAAAAAUUAGUACUUUAUUUUCCUGAAUGAGGUCACUUAAUUCUACCUUGUGAUCAUAAUUCUGACAUUGUUGAAGUGACAAACAGUUCACAGCAGAUUUUAUAUUCGCAAGAAAUGGUAUUCUGUAGUCAUGAAAUCAUCUAAGUUUUUUACAGUUGUUCUAGUGAUGUGAACAUGUUCAAGAACUAUAAAGACUAUUUCACACCUAUGAAGACUAAUCUAAAUGCUAUUAAAAUUUCUCGGUAUAAAGUUGAGCAGUGCACUUGUGAUGGGAAAUACAUUUUUAAGGUAAGAAAUGAUCAACAAACAACUGUUUUAUCUGUGCUUGUACCCUUGAAAGAAAUAUAUACUGCAAGAGCAAGAAAAAUAGUGCAUCUCGGAUUUCGGGAGGAAUUACUGUAUACUGUACUAUGCUUUUACUUGUCAAGGAAGCUAAAUACGAAGAUAUGAUGAAGUAUAUUGCGAUAGGAGACACAGAUUUCUAUGAAAAACAACAUCUCAAAAAAUGAAGUUAGUUCAGGAAAAUCAGAGUAAAACAGUAAGUUAAAGCAAUGAGAUGAAACCACUUAUAACUUUAAUUUAUGGUAAUUUGUAUCUUUAUAACAUUUGACUGUUAUAUAUCUUACAGAGUAUUUGAUUAAAAUAUAUUUUGAAAUGAUUGACUAUUUAUUUAAUAAAAUGAGAGCUAUGUGGCAACAUGAGUUUGUAUUUGUUCAUGCUAUACAAAGGGCUACUAUUAACAUCAUGUGGCUUUAAUACAAAAAAUAAUGGACAUUUUAUAUGGUCUUUGUUAGUAUGACAUUCAAGACAUGUCAACUACUCCCUACUCUACAGUCUAGUCAUCUGUGGUAAACCUAUUCACUCCAGCACCAAAAUUGUGAACGUCUAUAUCUCUCACCUUCCUUCUUGCGCAAAUACCAUACAGAUCUUAACCACAAAUAAAUCUCCUGGGCAGUCUCUUCCUUCGACCCUCUAACCCUUGUAGGGCCUACCAUGUCACCCAGCACAACCCAGGCCUUGAAUACCUCAUAUACUGCACACGGGAUAUAACUUUUUUCAAGUUAAACUCUCAGAUGUGAUCUUCUCUCCUUAGUAUCCUUUCCACAUCCCCCACUAUCCUCUUUCUUCAUUUUCCGAUCCUUCACAAUAAACUUUGUUUAUCUCAUUCCCACACCAUUAUCCCUACUCCACAGUUCCUAUCCCAGAAUCAUUACAACUGGGAAAACUGCCUCUUACUCCAACCCCAAAGCUGAUAAAUACUGGAAUAUUUACACAUGUGAAACCAUCCAUGUUGUUCACCAGUUGAAUGUGUUCACUGCAUGGUUAUUUACAGAGCAACAAACUGUGUUCACUGCAUGGCUAUUUACAGAGCAACAACUUCACUGAAUUGGACCAAUGCAUCAAUGAAUGCAGAAGAAGGGUUUAUCUUGGGACCACCAAGAAUCAGUUUGACAUGUCAGAGUUAAUGUUCACUUGAUUGUUGAAGAUAAAGCAUUUCAUACCCAGAGCAAAAUUUGUUUGUUGAGGAAGAUUAAGCAAUCUUUAAUAUGUGCUUUUCCAUUAAAAAUGCAUUUCGUACGAUGUUGAGUGUGAUAAUUGUGACAGAAUAUCAUAUUAUCAGAAGAUGAUAACAGUAUGAGGAUAGGUGAGAAGUGGUUACAGUAAGCUCUAGAUUGUACAGUAAUUGUGUGUGUCAGCAAGGUUAGGAAACAUAUUGCAACUAAAAAUUAUAUAGUAUAAAAAGCCAGCUUUUGAGUACAUAUCUGUAGUAACUCUUUAAAAGAGAACUGGAUGGAGAAGAUGCUGUUAUAAUUUAGUCAUGUAACGAACAUGCCCCUUUACACAAUGUAUCUCCUGUUCCAGAGAGAAUUUUACAGAACAGAUUUGUUUGUCACACUUAUUUGAGGUAAUUGAGAUAGCUAAUUUUCAAUGUUGAUGCUUAAAAGGUGACAAGCUGUGAAGUAUAAAAAUUUUCAUGACUGCUGGCAAAAUAUUUAUAGCAUAGAGAACUGAAUUAUUUCUUAAUUGUGCCAGAAAAUCUACUUACUUUGUAUAUGUAUAUUUCAGACCUCCUGCUGUCUCAAAUGUGUUUUCGUGAUCCAUGGACACAAACUGCAGGAUCUAAGUCUCCAUAUACUCGCAGAUUUGAAUGCACAAAGUGUGGAAAAUCUUACAUGCAGAAGAAAACUCUCAAUAGACAUGUGAAAUUAGAGUGUGAUAAAAAGCCGCAGUUUAGCUGUCCGUAUUGCCCACAUCGGUCUAAACAAAAAAGUAAUCUCCAGCAGCACAUAAUUGCUAAGCAUACUGGCCUUUGACUGUAGGCCAAUGUUCAAAACAGCUUAUACACAAAAUUAGCCUUAGAACACUCACUAAAUUGUAAGUUGUGAUGUGACAUCAUUUUCAAAUUUUAUUGCGUACUGUUUCUAGUUUUGUUUACGACAUUCAGUUUCUUUUUUCUGUCACAGUUACAAAAAUACUGUUAAUAUCAAGCUCCUGUGAAAGGCAGAUCUGAUUUUAUUUGUAUGUUAUUUAGUGUGAUUCAUGAUAAGGAUAAACCUUAAGUGUUCAUCAGAAAUAGACUCUAAAAUAAUGUUUGAUUAUGUUAACUGAUAUUCCAUUACUUCUUGGUAGAACGACUUCAUAAUUAGA